rnacentral:rRNA from 1 species
UACAGAGGGGGCAAGCGUUGUUCGGAAUUACUGGGCGUAAAGGGCGCGUAGGCGGCCUGUUAAGUCGAACGUGAAAUCCCAAGGCUUAACCUUGGAACUGCGUCGGAUACUGGAUGGCUUGAAUUCGGGAGAGGGAUGCAGAAUUCCAGGUGUAGCGGUGAAAUGCGUAGAUAUCUGGAGGAAUACCGGUGGCGAAGGCGGCAUCCUGGACCGACAUUGACGCUGAUGAGCGAAAGCUAGGGGAGCAAACGGG